UCUUCUGCUCAUCCUUCUGCUUCAUCUUUUCCCUUUGUUCCUUCUGGAGAACAUGAUGAUGAUUCUGAUUCUCCCAUACUUCUCUCCUCUCCCUCUUCUCCCACAUGUGUGCAAGUGCCUUAUACUGAUUCUGCAUUCCCUUCUUCUUUCAAUCCUAACAUCUCCCCUCCUGUUUUAGCUUCUUCUCCUUCUGUUCCUGCUCCCAGAAAGUCUCAAAGACAGCAUAAUCCUCCUUCCUAUCUUAAGGAUUAUGUCUGUCAACUACCUGCCUUCUCNNNNNNNNNNNNNNNNNNNNNNNNNNNNNNNNNNNNNNNNNNNNNNNNNNNNNNNNNNNNNNNNNNNNNNNNNNNNNNNNUGUCUGUCAACUACCUGCCUUCUCUGGUUCAUCUUCCUCCUCUUUGGAAUCUGAGCCUCUAUAUUACUCUCAAGCUGCAUCUGUUCUAGCAUGGCAAGCUGCCAUGAGACAGGAGUUUGAUGCUUUGGACACUAACCAUACUUGGGAUGUUGUUCCUCUUCCUCCUGGUAAGAAAUCUAUUGGUUGUAAAUGGGUUUAUAAGAUAAAUACAAGACUGAUGGUUGUGUUGAAAGGUAUAAAGCCAGACUUGAGAUUAGAGGUGAUACUCAGGUUGAAGGUAUUGACUUCACUGACACCUUUUCUCCUGUGGUUAAANNNNNNNNNNNNNNNNNNNNNNNNNCACCUUUUCUCCUGUGGUUAAAAUGUGCACAGUUAAGUGUCUUAUUGCUGUGGCUGUGAAAAAUCAUUGGACUUUAUUUCAACUAGAUGUUAAUAAUGCUUUCUUGUAUGGUGAUUUGCAUGAUGAGGUCUAUAUGAAGCUUCCUCCUGGUUUAGUUGUUUCUGCUCCUGCCUUUGUUUCUGCCCCUUCUGCCUCUACUGCUCCCCUUGUUUGCAAAUUAAACAAAUCCCUAUAUGGGCUCAGACAGGCUUCCAGACAAUGGUAUGCCAAGUUGUAUUCUGCUCUCUACUCCAGAGGCUAUAGGCAUUCCUUGAAUGAUUAUUCCCUAUUCAUCAAAGGUACACUAGGGUCCCUUGUGAUUGUGGUUGUUUAUGUGUAUGAUAUCAUCCUUACUGGGGAUAACUGUGAUGAAAUUGCUGCCCUGAAACUGUUUCUGGAUGAUCACUUUAAAAUUAAGGACCUAGGGUCCUUACAUUAUUUUUUAGGCAUUGAGAUGUCAGCUAUUCCUGGUGGGAUGAUCCUUAAUCAACACAAAUAUAUUUGUGAUUUGCUGCAACAGUUUGACUGUGUCAAUGUCUCUUCUGUUGUCUGUCCUUUGGACAUUACUGCAAAAUUACAUGCUGAUUUUGAUGACCUUUUACUUUCUCCUGAUCAGUAUAUGAGUCUUGUUGGUAAACUCUUAUUUCUGACCCAUACUAGGCCUGACAUCUGUUUUGCUGUGCAACAUCUGAGUCAAUUCCUCAAAUGCCCCAGACUCCCCCAUAUGACUGCUGCCCUUCAUGUGCUGAGAUAUCUCAAGGGCACUUCUUCUCUGGGUCUCUUUUAUUCUGAUUGCAAUGAUUUCAUUGUUAUUGGUUAUUCUGAUAGUGACUGGGCUGCAUGCCCUGAUACAAGGAGGUCUGUUACUGGGUUCUGUAUUACUCUGGGUGGUUGCCUGAUUAGUUGGAAAUCUAAGAAGCAACAUGUGGUUUCUUUAUCUUCUGCUGAGGUUGAAUACAGGGCCCUCAGUAAGGUUGUUGCAGAACUAUCUUGGUUGUCUCGUUUGUUUCAUGAUCUUGGUAUUUCUGUUUCUCUUUCAUUUUUUGUGUAUUGUGACAGUCAGGCUGCUAUUCACAUUGCUAAGAAUCCUGUUUUUCAUGAACGGACCAAACACAUUGAACUGGAUUGUCACUUUGUACGCGAUCAGCUCCAGAAUUGCCUCAUUCAGCUGUUUCAUGUUUCUACAACUCGUCAGCUAGCUGACAUUAUGACCAAGCCCUUGCCUGGCACAGUGCUUCAUCCCUUAUUGCUCAAGUUGCAGGUGGUCUCCCCCUACAACUUGCGGGGGGGUGUUGAGAUAAGAGAUCAUACCUGACAUACACUUGUAUAGACUUUGUAUAUUCAUUGUAUACUCAUUGUAUAUUUGCGGUAUACUCAUGAUAUACCUUGUAAUGGGCUAUGAUGAUUACUGUAUAUCUGAGCCCACAGGUUAUUUAAUUUUGGGCCGGAUCACCCGACCCGACCCGAUAGUG
rnacentral:lncRNA from 1 species